UGUAAGCGUAUACCAAAGUUGUUGCAGUUAAAACGCUCGUAGUCGGAAUUUGGCAGUUCCGGAAGUGUGCACGUCGUGUGCGCACUUUGCGGGGACUGCUUUUGUGGUCUUGCGUAGGAUGAGGCACUUUCAUUAGUGAACGUCCUCACGCAACCACUCUUUACUGUGAGAAAAUCAGAGUGCUCAAAGCAGGCAUUUGCCGUGAAUGUAUUAGCAUGGAAUAAUAGAAUAGGACUCGGUUCUAUUUUGUUGGUUUGUUGGGACUGAGUAAUGAUUAAGAGGGACAGUUGGGGGCAUUUGUAUUCCGGCGCUAGAGGUGAAAUUCUUAGAUUGCCGGAAGACAAACUGCUGCGAAAGCGUCUGCCAAGGAUGUUUACAUUGA
rnacentral:rRNA from 1 species